AUGGUCCAGAUGUCGCUGACAAAGGAGGAGUACAGCUGGUUUUCCGACUUCCUCAAAUUCAAGCACUGUCUCUUAGGGGGAAAGAAGGCCCAGCACUUCUUUUUCAAUUCAACAAACACUCAGAUGAAGAACCUGCCUGCCUACCUGAGGGAGGUGUGGAAGGAGAUGGGUCUGCCCGAAUGUCCUUCAUUCACUGACAUGAGGACCUCCAUUGUCACUCAUGUAAAAAACAUGCUCCCAAAGGUUGACAGGGAAAGGGUGGCCAACUUCAUGUGCCACAACAUCCAGACGGCAGACAAAUAUUAUGCCAUGAAUUUAAAUCCAACCCAAGCAAAUGAAACCAGGGCACUCUUUGAGGCUGCACUGAAGGGGGAAGAUAACACAGUCGCCGCAGAGAACCAGCCCUCCACCUCAGGAGAAAGAAAGCAGAAGGUGAGAGAGGAUGCCUCCCUCUCCGACGGGAGCACCACCCCUGAAGAGACCAAGGUGAUGUACCAGGAGUCUGGCACGUCCGCCGGUGACUCGGAAGAGGAGGAAGAGGAUGAAGAUGAGGAACAGAUGGCCAGACAACUUCCAGUAAGAUCAGCUAUUCUGACAGGACACAUUUGAUUAUCAAAAUGUACUUGUAAACUAUGUAACAGUCAAGUGUGAAUUCUGAGAUAUAUCUAAUUUCUUGUGUUUGCUCUGUCAGGAGACACCUUCCAAGGUGACCAAUCCUCAGGUGGAGAUGGAACUUACCCCAAAGAGGAAGCGGAGCAUCUGCACACGCCGCAUGGAGGUCGCCAUCAGCCCCAUGCUAGUCUCACCGCUCAAAGUGAGGCUCAAGUCGCCCCCCCACCAGUCCCUCAUUGUCACAUUAAAAGGGAUGCAACAACUAAACUCAAAUAAAGUAAGACUAAAAAAUGCCAUUGCCUCAUGGAGGUUAAAGCUGCAGGAGAAGGUGCAAAAGAGAGGAGGGGACCCCUGAUGCAGCUCGAAGGAAGGGGAGCCGACCAACAACAAGACUUCCUCUUCCAAAUAGUCAUGUAGAUUGUUUUAGACUCUCACAUUUAUACUGUUCUGAUUUUGUUUGGUUUGAUUUUCAAUUUUGGUGUGCUUGUUUACAUUUUAGAAGUGUAAAAUGUGUGUAAUUUAGUCUAACUGUCUGUUCAAUUUUCUAUUUUGGUGUGAUUCUUUAUAAUGUAAAGGUUUGUUCUGUUUUAUUAAAUAACUAGUUUAGUAAUUAUUUGUGUUGUGCUUUCUUUAAGGUUAUAUUCUAACUGUCUGUUCAAUUUUCUAUUUUGGUGUGAUUCUUUAUAAUGUAAAGGUUUGUUCUGUUUUAUUAAAUAACUAGUUGAGUAAUUCUUUGUGUUGUGCUUUCUUUAAGGUUUAUAUUUAGUUUGUCACUUAAUUUGUAAGUGUUAAACAUUCACUGUCUUGUGUUGUUGUCUGUGAAGGUAGGAACAAAUAUUUAGGCAUUAUUGGCAUGGGAAUCAUAUGUUUACAUUGGCAAAGCAAAUUAAGUAGAUAAUAAACAAAAGUGAAAUAAACAAUAAAGUCCUGCUGUAGAC
rnacentral:lncRNA from 1 species